CCCUGGGAUGCUCCUGGCACUACCACAGCAGCAACACGUGGCACUGGUGGCUCAGAAGGCCUUGGGUGUGACUCCUUCCAAGAGGCUGAAGUGACUCACUCAGAUCCUCCUCUGAGAAGGAAUCACUUCACAGCACUCAGGAUUUGGAAGGAAAGGCCCAGAAAAACCUUCAAACCCAAGGAUUUGACAUCAGACCUGCUCUCAGGGUCCACAGCCACCAACUGCCAGCUCCACCAGCUGAAGGAAAGACUGGCACAGCAAUCCCUGCUGCUGUUGCUGAGCUUCCUUCUCUGUGCCCAAGAGCUUUCCCAGGGAAGAAGCUGCAGGAAGACUGAGGGCAAAUCCUGCACCAAAGAGCCUCCCUGUGUUCAAGGUUCUGAGAGUCCCAGUGAAAGGGGGAAGCCACUUCCAACAGCAUGAAGAAAAGUCUGAGCUGGUCCAGAUAUUCCAAGCACAGAAGAAAGUGCUGAGAAUGGAAAGAGAAGCCAAGAGGCCAGAAGAGAAGAAGCAAGUGCAGGUUUUGGGGACAGCAAGGAUGCUGGGCUUGUGCUGACUGUGUGUUGAGAUGACACCAAACCUCUGCGAUUUGGGGCCGCUGGGACUCACCUGAAGAACUCUUCACCAGAUUAUCAGCUCCAAAAAACUUUCCUGAUUAACUUUGCCAAAAGGCUGACCCUUCUUAGACUACAAACCCU
rnacentral:lncRNA from 1 species